rnacentral:tRNA from 2 species
GCCGACUUAGCUCAGUCGGUAGAGCAUCUGAUUUGUAAUCAGAGGGUCGGGCGUUCGAAUCGUCUAGUCGGCA